UAUACUUUUGAUUAGAAUUGUGAUGGAGAGAAAAGCAGCAUGGCGCUGAGUCAACCUGGAGGAUUUGGAUCCGGAAAAUUUUGUUUGUUAGUGGAUCACGGUUUUCGAUUCCGAUCUUUAGUAGCUCGUACCGGCAUGGACCAACAAUAUUUGCUCGUACCACUAACUGUUAAGUCCGAAAUCAUCGUAUGACGGCAAGGGAAAUCUGCUCGAGAGAAACAGUGAAUUGAGGAUCUUGAGCGAAUCCUUUACCAGCUAGUAUGCCUAGGGUGACCAUAUGGUAUCCUAAAGGAGGACAUGUCCUCCUUUUUCAUUAAAAACUAGAUGUCCUCCUUUGCGCUAAA